UGGGGAAUAUUGCACAAUGGACGGAAGUUUGAUGCAGCGACGCCGCGUGGAGGGUGUAGGCCUUCGGGUUGUGAACUCCUUUUUCUCGCGAAAAAGGCACAGUUUUGGCUGUGUUGAUGGUAGUGGGGGAAGAAGCGCCGGCUAACUACGUGCCAGCAGCCGCGGUAAUACGUAGGGCGCGAGCGUUGUCCGGAUUUAUUGGGCGUAAAGAGCUCGUAGGUGGUUCGUCGCGUCUGUCGUGAAAGCCAGCAGCUUAACUGUUGGUCUGCGGUGGGUACGGGCGGGCUUGAGGGCGGUAGGGGUGACUGGAAUUCCUGGUGUAGCGGUGGAAUGCGCAGAUAUCAGUAGGAACACCGAUGGCGAAGGCAGGUCACUGGGCCGUUACUGACACUGAGGAGCGAAAGCGUGGGGAGCGAACAGG
rnacentral:rRNA from 1 species